rnacentral:rRNA from 1 species
GACGAACGCUGGCGGCGUGCUUAACACAUGCAAGUCGAACGGAAAGGCCCUGCUUUUGUGGGGUGCUCGAGUGGCGAACGGGUGAGUAACACGUGAGUAACCUGCCCUUGACUUUGGGAUAACUUCAGGAAACUGGGGCUAAUACCGGAUAGGAGCUCCUGCUGCAUGGUGGGGGUUGGAAAGUUUCGGCGGUUGGGGAUGGACUCGCGGCUUAUCAGCUUGUUGGUGGGGUAGUGGCUUACCAAGGCUUGGACGGGUAGCCGGCCUGAGAGGGUGACCGGCCACAUUGGGACUGAGAUACGGCCCAGACUCCUACGGGAGGCAGCAGUGGGGAAUAUUGCACAAUGGGCGGAAGCCUGAUGCAGCAACGCCGCGUGCGGGAUGACGGCCUUCGGGUUGUAAACCGCUUUCGCCUGGGACGAAGCGUGAGUGACGGUAAUGGGUAAAGAAGCACCGGCUAACUACG